AUUCCCGGGCUAUGACUUGAAGCUUUGGUGGUUUUCACCACGAGCUUUUUAUUGCUCUGAAAUGUUUUAUGUGGUUUUAAUCUUCUUUGGUGUUUUCCAUGUGUAACAUUUGUUUUACUGCUGAUGGGGCGUCAGGAUAGAUUUAGCACAUAGGAAGAGUACUUUUGCUGAAAUUUUCUAGGGCCUGCUCAUUUUCUUAAUUCUUCAAAGAGGAGGAACAUUGUUCCUAUUUUGUCUCUUAUGUUUUUAAUGAAAAAGACUGAAUCUGGAGUUCCUGUCAUGGCUCAGUGAUUAAUGAACCUGACUAGUAUCCAUGAGGACGCGGGUUCGAUCCCUGGCCUUGCUCAGUGGGUUAAGGAUCCGGCAUUGCUGUGAGCUGUGGUGUAGGUUGCAGAGGCGGCUUGGAUCCUGGGUGGCUGUGGCUGUGGCAUAGGCUGGCAGCUAUAGCCUUGAUUGGACCCCUAGCCUGGGAACCUCCAUAUGCCACAGGUGCAGCCCUAAAAAAAAAAAAAAAAUUAAUUUAAGAAAUUCUAAAGGAAAUAAAGUAAUAAAUAAUAUGCUCAGAUGGCUUAUAUUAUUUCACUCUCAGUUCUAUGUCAAGGUAUUUUUUCUCUUCUUUGCAUAUAACAUAAUUAUUCACAUUUUUUGUAUCAACCAAAUACAUAUAUUUGUAAUUUUAAUAGACAUGGUGUAUUCAAUAAUUUCGUGACAUGAUUUAAUUGGGAACUCUCCUAGUUUUGAGUUACUUUUAGUUAGUCACAAAUUUUUAUGAUCCAUACCUUAAUUUUUUUGUUCUACUCUUCAAUAAAUCUUAGCCCAUAUGUAUUAAACCAUUCUUUGUAUUUAAAAGGAGAAUGAAUAGAGAAACCAUCAAACAAUAAUCAGCCUUUAUAAAGAGCAAAUACACUUCAGCUAAGCUUGCUGAGAAGUCCUAAAAAGUUAGGGUGAGAGACUAGAUUCGAGAGGUGAAUUUCUAAAAGAAAUGUAAAGUACAGGGCUUGGGCCAUAGCUUGCCUCUUUUAGUGCUAUUAUGUAUAAGAAAAAAUUUUACCUCUAUGAUAUUGCUUAAAUAGAAUUCAGUUGAUACCAUUUAUGAAUAUUGUAAGUAAAUGUUUAUUAAAUGUGACUUUGUCUCCCUGAUGUGAUAGAUUUUGGUGUUUCAUUGAAAAGAAAAUAUUUUUAAUUGUAUUAUUUAGGUUGUCUCCUGUUAGUUUUUCCUAAGUUAUCACAGUUUUCAGUUUUGUCUCAGUUCUUAGUUAAGGCAUGUCUUGAACCGAGUUUGUUAGGCAAUUACUGGUUUUAUUUCUUCUUAUAAUUUCCUCACUUUUCUAAUAUGUACUUUUCAUGUUGCUUGGAACGUAAACAUUUACUAUUUUAGAUAGAGUAUGUCUUUGCAAAAUCCUACAGUGACCCUUCAUUGCAUUUUAUUUAGAAUUUUUUUUAGUCUGAUAGCAUUAUAAGUAUCCUUAUCUGUUUGACCUCCUAAGUUUCUUCGGAAACUUAUCAAGCAACUAUUCCCUUCUUUCUCUCCCUACUGACUCCUGUUUAAUCUGUGAACCAAAUCAUGUUUCUCUCUCCUUUUAAAAAAACAAGCAAAAACAGCUUACUUGACCACCUACACUCUGUCUUUCCCCCCCUUCACUGCCAAACCUCUUAAGACUCUGUCCUCUCUGAUUUCAUGUCCUCACUUGUCACUGUUCAGUCUCCCGUCAUCUGUCUUCUCUCCUUAUCAUUUUACGAGAAAAAGCAUGCCCAUUGCCAUGGUGUCUUCUUAAUUGUUCUCAUUCCAUUCAGCCUCCUUGGCGAAUGUUUAUCAAUGACUGUCACUGUCCUCAAUAUUUUUCCUUCCCUUGGGAAUUAACUUUAUUCUAAGGUGUCUAUUUCACUUUAUUUCUUUCUCUCAUGUCUCUUCCUUCCUCUGCCCUUUAAAUGUAUAUAUAUCCUGCCAAGAUUUCAUUCUUUAUCAGCAGAAGAGACCUUUCUCAAACCUAGUCUCUCCCUGGUCAAUUUCAUACGUUUCCAUGGUGGCAUCAAUCGCCUCCACAUUAAUGGUGCCAACCUACCUCUGCAGACGCCAGGCCUGACUGCUUCCUUACUCCUAGGUCUGGAUUAACCCUGCAUGAGCCUCAAACAUACUUUGUUCAGAGCCACCUGUGCACCCUCAACCAAACUCGCUUCUCCCUCCUGGAUAUUUUUCUCAAUUGUUGGAACCCCAAACCACCGGGUCACUUGAACUAGAAACUCAGAAGUCCUUUUGACUUCUCCUUUUCCUUCAUCCCGCAUGUCUAACCAGGCUCAGUCCUGGCAACACUUUGACCCCAAGAACCUAUGGGAUCUGAAACCUUUGCUCCAUCCCUAGUGCCCUGAUGCAGAAAGGGAGAAGGGGUGAAAGAGAGGAAGGAAUUAAAAAAGAAUGAAGAGAGGGAAGAAAGGAGGAAGGAAAGGAAAAAAGAAGGUGGGAGGGA
rnacentral:lncRNA from 1 species